UACGGGGGGGGGUAAGCGUUGUUCGGAAUUACUGGGCGUAAAGGGCUCGUAGGCGGCCAACUAAGUCAUACGUGAAAUCCCUCAGCUUAACUGGGGAACUGCGUGUGAUACUGGAUGGCUUGGAUUUGGGAGAGGGAUGCGGAAUUCCUGGUGUAGCGGUGAAAUGCGCAGAUAUCAGGAGGAACACCGGUGGCGAAGGCGGAUCUCUGGGCCAUUACUGACGCUGAGGAGCGAAAGCGUGGGGAGCGAACAGG
rnacentral:rRNA from 1 species